AUUUGUCUGAUGUGUUGCCUGCUGUUUUUGGGUGAGUGAUAAAUAUGAGUUCUAUAUAGGGGGUGAAGAAAGCAUUCCAUGAGUGGGACUGUAUGAACAAUGGAGAAAAGUCAUGAAGGAAAGAUGGCAUUCCAUGUGGACUCGAGUAAAGUGAACAUGAUAUCUUGUCUAUAAGGGGGAUCAUACAUUUAAAGCAUUCAGCAACCUGUAACCAACACAACAGUCUUUCCAAGAAGAAGAGAGUAUGAGCUUUUAGAGGGGAAGAAAAGUAUCCUCUUCCCUUGAGAAGCAUUCAGAGCAUCUAGUAUCACACUUGGGAUAUAGCAGGCAUUUGGUACUCAAUUAAAGAAUAGAAUGUGAUUAAAUAACUUUGAGGGCCCACAUGGAUGACUUUGAAUACGGUAACAUAGCACAUCUGAGAUAUAGAGUAAAAUGGAAACCUUGAGCAAAGGUAGGCUAGUUAGGAGUCUGUUUCAAUAGACCAAAGGAGAUGGAGAGCAUGAGGGGCUCAGUUAGUCUUGUGGUGGUGGAAAUAAAGAGGAAAAAGCAGGUGCAGAAAACAUUCAGAGGAGGAAACAAUGGGCUGUUGAAACAAAUUGGAUAUUUGGGACAAUAGCAAGAGAAAAGUCAAAGAUAACUGGGAUUUUAAUCCUGAGCAACGGGUAGGCUAGUGAGACAUCUAAUCACUCUCCCCGUCUCCUUCCCUGAAAGUUAAUUACUCACAGAAAAAGCAUUAGCCAGAAGUCAGCAUGUUUACAUCAGUUCCUUAACCCUGCAAGUCCACAUUGGUGAUGCAGGUGGCCAAGACAGGUGCUGCACACACUGGAUUACAGCAUGGAAGAGGAGCCCAGGGUCAUGGAGGCACCCAGCAAGUGGCAAAAUAUGGGCACCUUGACCUACUGGGUUGCCUAUGUGACCAGCUACAGAAGCUGCUCAGUAUCAGGAGCUGGAGCUGCCUGCAAUCUGGCCACUCAGCAAGAAUUUUCAGAGACUGUUUCUAUUCCAUAGUGGAUGCUCCAUCCAACACCAUUCUUUUAAAGUGCGCACAUCUGAUCACUUUCCAAGUAUAAAUGGCCUGAAUUUAUUUUCCUUUCUUUACCAAAAUCCAACCUAAGUAAUUUUUUUCUUUCCAUACUCCUUAUUCAUGAACUCUAAUUGUUGGUAACUUUGAGAGCAUUGGUCAUCUUAAUUUCUUACCACUAAUGACAUGACAAGUUAAUUUCUGCAAUAAGAACAGCUAAAAUUAUUUUUAUAUCUUCUAACAUAAUAUUUUGUCAUGA
rnacentral:lncRNA from 10 species